GUAGUCCACGCUGUAAACGAUGAGGACUAGAUGUUGGUGCGCGCGAGCGCAUAAGUAUCGAAGCUAACGCAAUAAGUCCUCCGCCUGGGGAGUACGGCCGCAAGGUUAAAACUCAAAGGAAUUGACGGGGGCCCGCACAAGCGGUGGAGCAUGUGGUUUAAUUCGAUGCAACGCGAAGAACCUUACCUGCCCUUGACAUCCACGGGACCUGGCAGAGAUGCUGGGGUGCCGAAAGGAACCGUGAGACAGGUGCUGCAUGGCUGUCGUCAGCUCGUGUUGUGAGAUGUUGGGUUAAGUCCCGUAACGAGCGCAACCCUUGUCCUUAGUUGCCAACACGUAAAGGUGGGGACUCUAAGGAGACUGCCGGUGAAGAACCGGA
rnacentral:rRNA from 1 species